GAUUCAUGUUGACUGGUGAUCCAACUUGUUUUGCACCAUUUAAUGCAAAUAGUAUUUGCAGUGAUAUUUCUUGUAACAUCACUUUCAACUUUCUUCUGACUAGAGAACAUAUCGGCUCAGAGGGAAAGAAUGGGAGCCCAGCAUUGAAAGCAUGUGACAAGAACCUAUUUACAACCCCCCUCCCAGGAGAGGAAAGCCAGGCAGCCCUGAGCAGCAGCACCCAGCCAGCAGCUCUCUCACAAAGGUGCCCUGCUCUCUAAUGAUGGGGAGGAAACUAGAUCUUUCCAAACUGACAGAUGAAGAGGCCAAGCAUGUCUGGGAAGUGGUUCAACGGGACUUCAAUCUACGCAAAAAAGAAGAAGAACGCUUAGAGGAACUGAAAGGCAAGAUUGAAAAAGAGAGCACCAAGAGAGAAUUAUUGUCGGAUCAGUCUCACCUAAAUGAGACUCACUGCAUUCACUGUCUGCAGCCCUUCAAAUUCCUGGUGAACAGCAAACGUCAGUGCUUGGACUGUCAUUUCUAUACAUGUAAAAAUUGCAGCCGCUACAAUAAAAAGGAGCAAGGUUGGGUGUGUGAUCCAUGCCGCUUGUCCAGGAUUGUGAAGACUGGAUCUCUGGAAUGGUAUUAUGAGCAUGUGAGAUCCCGUUUUAAGCGAUUUGGAAGUGCUAAGGUGAUGCGAUCUCUCUAUGGCAGGAUGACAUAUGGUGGACAGAAGAUGAAUCCUUCCUUGCUUGAUAUGGGCAGGGGUCUUGGUCUUCAUGACAGAGUGCACAGUUUGCCAGACAUCAACAGUGGUUACCAGCUCUACCAGCAAAAAGAGGACAGUGAGGAUGAUGAGGCCAAUGACGUCAUAGAUGGUGCAGAAGCUGAGCGCUAUGCUAGGAUGCGCAAGACAAAGCGUCUGCUGUCUGUCCAUCCUUUUGAUUUUGAAAUGGACUCAGAAUAUUCUGCUCAAUCUCGCCGUCAGUCUCUGCAGCUCUCUACUGGGAAUGAAGGCCUUCAGGUAUUGGUGGUGACUUUUGAAGAAUAUCCAGGUGCUGAGGAAGAGGCAUCACGGAAAGAAUCAAUGAUAGCUGAAGCAGACCUGGCUGCCAUGUUCCACCAUAUCUUGCAGGAGCAAGGACAACAGACAUCGCCACCUGAACAGGAAUUCACCACUGAGGUCCGACUUACAGUGAACUCGCAUAGUAAAAACCUGGAAAGAACCCCCAAGGCUGGCAUCCCAUGGAAUGAGCAGCAGCCAUCCCAGUAUUCAGCUGAUAUGGACACCUCUGAUGAAGAUGUGAAAGGAGCCCAGAAGUCCUUUGCCUAUCCCCCACAUCACACAAAACGCAGGAGUCGAGCCUCAUCUCAGGAAAACAUAAAUCACUCUGGAAAUCAGAUGCUUGAACUGAAUAAACGCAUGUCAGCUAUUGAACGCAUGCUGAACCGUCUUGAGGAAAAGAUCCUGGUUCACUCAGAAGAGCCUUGUGAGUCCCACACUGAUCCCAGCAUAGAAGAGAAGGAACUGAAGAGAAAACUAGAACAACUAGCAAGUAAUAUUAGUGACAAAGGGGGUUCUUCUGAUGAGGAAGAAGAGGGAAAGAAGAAUGAAGAGUCCAAACGGGUUAUGAGUUCCUCCAGUGAUGACCUGCCUACUGAUGCUAAGAAGGUAUUUUCUCUCUUGCAUUCUGCUUCAUUAGAGAAAGUCUGUUCAUGCUUACAUACUCCAUAGUGUCACGUGCUCAUAUUAGCUCAGAAAGUUAUAUUACUGCAAUUCUUUGGAACGUAUUCACAUAUCCUUAAUGUGCUCAUUGAGAGUAAUGGUGUUUGUUUGUUCUUAUUUAUUGCUAUUUUAAAGAUAAAAAUAAUCCCAAUUAAGAUAAAAGUACAUUAAUAAAAUUCACUAUGGAGAAAACUCACUCAACAAUUGGUGAUGGAAAGCCUGCGACAGAAGUGUGGAACAGUCCAGCUAGAGCAUGCUCAGAGGAGGUCUUUUCUUGUCUGGUUAUCCUGGGAUCUUUCCCAAAAGGCAGCCGAGAACAAGUGCCUGAGGUAGUUUUCUCCCAGCUGCAAUCUCUUCUUUCAUUGUCCAUAUGGUUGUUGGUAUAUAAUGGCACAGGAAGACUAUGAAUAAUAUGGUCAUGACAAUCCACUCAUAUGUGUGACAAACAGUAUCAGUGAAAAUAUAAUCCUGGAAAGUCUUGGGCUAAUGCCAACCUUAUGGCAAAGUGCAGGGAAAACAAUCAAGUUCCUUGGGACAUGAAAUGUUGUUUCCUGUUGAAAAAAAUGCUCCGUGAAAGCUUGUUGCUUUAUACACAUGCAAGACAAAGAACAACUUUGGGAAAGGGAAAUAUUUUCAUCAUAGAAAUAGAAUGAAGAUAAGUUUUUAAACACGCAGGCCCCAACACUCUGGACCCUAUUCAUUCCAGGUCUUCUUUGUACGAAAAUUCAAGAAACAGAACCAGGAGGUCUAACUGUAAAAUUCAGUGACAUAUCUAUUUACAUCCUUAAGGCUGUAAUCCUAAACAUACUUCUUAAGAAUGAAGCCUAAUUUGAACACAGGAGGGGUUAGUUCCCAGUAAAUGCAGGGGCUUAAUACACUACUGUGAGCAUGUUCCAAACAUGUAAUGCAUGUACCAAAGCUAUUUUUCCAAGUAAACCAGUAAUAUUAAUAUAGAGAAAAGAGGCAUGAUUUGAGAGACAACUGCCUGCCAACUUGACAUUUUCAAUCAUUUUCAUAUCAGAACUCUCUGAAUCAAGAGUUUUCAAACUUCCCAUUCUACAUCAAUAAAACAACUAUGGAUGUAACUGUAAACUCGCCUGUUAGACAAUAAGUCCAUUGCACUAAGUGGGACAUUUUGUUGAGAAAGUAUGUAUACAGUUAUGUGUGUUUCUGUGUGACUUUGUGUUAUAAACUUCCCCAAGUGUAAGAUGAAACUAAUGAUGGAUUUAACUUAACGUUUUCAUGCUUGUCCAACCCAGUUUAUAAGGAGGACAGUCAGUCAGUGAAAAGAGUGCUGCAUUUUCAGCCUUGCCAGAUCCAUUAGCCUAGAUAGGAAAAUCAUUUUCUUCACCUGAAAAGCCUUUGCAGAACAAAUGUAACUUGCCAUUACUAACAAUACACUGCUCCAAGCCCUUAUUGUCUUUGAGCAAUGAUUAAUGAGGCAUUUCCGCAUCUGAUUCCAAGAAUCAGUGGACUUGUGUUGAUAGUUUUGGCUGAUCCCUUUCUAGUUAUAAUGCAUAAAGGAUUCAAAUAUAAAAGCACAGAAGAGCUUGUGCCUUGUUUACUGAGAGCACUUCUUAGUGGAUGUUCUUCCUUUUGAGGUGCUCUAUUAAUAUGAAUCAGAGAGGUUUGCAUUCCUUUGGGUUUCUAAUGGCUUCUUUGUCAGCGUUUUCCCAUUUUAUUCUUGUGGCUAAACAUCUUGAAGCUGCCUUUAAUGAAAAGUUUUAGUAUCUAAGAGUGGAUCUUGAGGUAGGCUGCCUAUAUUAGUAUGUGAACACUUGCUUUCAUCUUUAUUUAAAAGAUAGCAGAUGCAGUAUCCUCAUGAGAUCUUUUACAUUGUUCAACUACAUUUGUGGAGGGAGGAGGCUAAGAGAUAUUUGAGAAUGUAGAUGUUUCAGAAGAUAGAAAUGGUGAGAAGCUAGAAAAUGGGCUGAUCAGUUGAUGAUGCUAAAGGUAAGUGAGCCUCUCCCCAUGCAACGUCUGCAACCAAAAUCACUCAGGUGAACAGAACUGGCUAUCUGAACUUCUGAGUUAAGUUUUAGAUGUCUAAUGUAUAUUUUCUGAUAAAGAAUGCCAGGCCCUGUUAAACAUUUAUUUAUAAAUUUAUUUGCAUAUUUAUUUCCUGCCCUCUGUCUAAAGACCUCAAAGUAACAUGCUGCAGCAUCAUGGUCUCUUCCACAAGAGGGGUUGUGGGCAGCUAGUCAUAGUAUCAUCUUCAAAGCUUCUACCCAUGUUGACAGGACUAGAGUUCACCCAAGCUUAGUCUAAAUCAAACCUUGAUUAAGCCUCUGGAGAGCUGGAAUCUGAUCCCAAUAAAUCCACAAGAGCCAGAUUCCCUAAUUUGCAAGAUGAUUCCAAUAUAUUCUCUUGUCUGAAAGCAAAUUUCUUUGGUAUCUCUGAACUAUUCUGAACUAUGGCUAAAACAAAUGCGGAUUGCAAAGAAUGCUGAAUGGAUUUCUCCCAGCUACAGAAGUAGCAUUAAAAUAGCAGAUAUAGUCCAGCACAUGUGAGUCUAAAGUGAUACCUAUGGAAGUUAACUACACAUGUGUUUUGAUGAGAAUUGACCUGGCAGUGACUGACCAAAAAUGAGAUCCAGUGCGUGGAUGCUAUAAAAAAUGGAGCAUUUAUAAGAUCAUUCAUUUAUUCAUGUAAUAUCCUGCCUUUUUCCCAGAACCAGGACUUAUCAUGACUCACAGAAAUGAAAACAGAUGCAGAUUUUAAAAUCCAUAUAGUUUAAAAUCAUACUUUUUUCAUUAGGAAAAUAAGUGAACAUAAACCUGCAAAUAUUGCACCCCCCCAUAUGCACAUCUAUGGUACAAUGUAAUGUAUAUGGCUUGUAUGACCGCUGUGCCUGAAAAGGUAUAAAGCUGGAGAAGUUGCUGAAAGGAGCAGCAGAAAUGAUCAAGUGGCUGGAGCACUUCCUCUGUGAGGAACAUUUACAACAUUUGGGUUGCUUCAGUUUAGGGAAGCAAGCAAGGGGAACAAAGCAGUGUGAAUAUCCCAUAAUUCUAGAAACCUGAGUUAUUCACUAAAGCACAGUGGUGGGAGAUAUGGGUCAGACAAAAAGGAUAACAUCUUUACACUAUGUAGUUACACUGUGUAGUUAAACUAUGGAAUUCUCUGACAAAAGAUGUAAUAGCUACCACCAAGCUCUAUGUGGCUGCUAGUUAGAAAGGGUAAAUAUUCCUUCCAGUGUCAGAGGUGCGGUCUUCCUCUGUAUAGCUGCAUAUGUUAUCAGUUGUUAGAAAUCAUAUACAGGAGGGUGCUCAAGUCCUGUUUAUGGCCUUCUCUAAGCAAGUAAAUGGCCACAGUGUGAAGAGAAUCCUAGGCUAGAUAGGCUUUUGGUCUGAUAGAGCAUGACUCCUACUUUGCUCUUAUGAAUUCAUUGUAAGAUUUUAUCAAGGUGCAUCUGGCCACUUGCAAAAACACAUACAGAUGCUUUCAGUUUGCAUAUUCUUUAACCUGAAUCAAAAUUUGUAUAUUCAAGAUGAGACCCAACAUUGUCAUAUCAGUGCUACCUUCUUAACUGUGUCUGUGUGAUCAUAAUUGUGUCUGCCUGUCACAUUUCUAUGGUAGCACUGAAGAUGGUAGCACUUUGGUGAAAGUGAAGUGGAUCCAUUCUUCUUGAAAUGCAAACUAGAGUGUUGUUGAAAUGUCAGAAACAUAAUGUAAAUAACUGGAGCAAUGUGCAUAUUAAUAUAAAGGAAUUUUCAAUUUUCUUUUCACGUGAUUUUAAUUUUUUUUCAUCUUCUGUUAUUUGCAUUGUAUGUUUUUCCCCAUGGUGAUUGACUAUUGGUAUUUGAGAAUAAGAAUGAUUUUAAUAUGAUCAAGCACAAGUAAAAAGAUGAUAUUCUGCAGUAUUAAAAGCAAAUAGAGCAGCUGUACUGGCAGUUAUUAACUCCCAGCAGCAAGUGACAUGCAAUGUACCGUCCUUGUAAUAACAAGAAUAGAUUUCAAUGAAUGUCACAUCAACAUUGCAAUUGUUACACUUGAUAAUUCAUUUCCUACAGAAAUCCUGCACACUGCAAUAGCAAGAUGAAUCUCCUCAUUGGGAUCAGUGUUUCACCCUUUCCUUGGGAUUUCACUGUGCAGCCUGCAGUGAAGAGACUGCAGUGUGAAGAAAGAGGAGAAUACUGGAAAGUGGU